CGGGUAAUGCCGGGAACUUCUAAGGAGACUGCCGGUGACAAACCGGAGGAAGGUGGGGAUGACGUCAAGUCAUCAUGGCCCUUAUGGGCAGGGCUACACACGUGCUACAAUGGGCCGGUACAAAGGGUUGCCAACCCGCGAGGGGGAGCUAAUCCCAAAAAACCCGGUCGUAGUCCGGAUCGGAGUCUGCAACUCGACUCCGUGAAGUUGGAAUCGCUAGUAAUCGCGAAUCAGCACGUCGCGGUGAAUACGUUCCCGGGCCUUGUACACACCGCCCGUCACACCAUGGGAGUGGGCUGUACCAAAAGUAGGUAGCCUAACCUUCGGGAGGGCGCUUACCACGGUAUGGCUCAUGACUGGGGUGAAGUCGUAACAAGGUAGCCGUA
rnacentral:rRNA from 1 species